rnacentral:rRNA from 1 species
UACGUAGGGUGCAAGCGUUAUCCGGAAUUAUUGGGCGUAAAGAGCUCGUAGGCGGCUUGUCGCGUCUGCUGUGAAAUCCCGAGGCUCAACCUCGGGCCUGCAGUGGGUACGGGCAGGCUCGAGUUCGGUAGGGGGAGACUGGAAUUCCUGGUGUAGCGGUGAAAUGCGCAGAUAUCAGGAGGAACACCGGUGGCGAAGGCGGGUCUCUGGGCCGAUACUGACGCUGAGGAGCGAAAGCGUGGGGAGCGAACAGG